UGACACAGAGUUCGGUUUUUACUAUUAUGUGUUUGGCUGGGUGCAGAAUUGCCCUCACCACCCCUGGCCACCCUGGCCUCCUGGGAGGAACAGGCAGAGAUGGCUCCAGAUGGCUCUUGGCUGCCACUCUAGGCCUCAGGGCUUAUACAAUGAGCACAGCGGGUUCCACCUUCCAAUAGGAAGUGCAAACUCUAAUUCACAGUCAGACUUCACCAGGAGGGAGAGAUGGUCUUGGCUGAAGGCACUUUAAUCAGGGAGCAAACCCAGUGCCAGGGUUUGUCUUCCUUCUCGUUACUCUGAUAAGUCUAGAUGCCACUCUGUUGGAAAACCAGCACUGCCCACAGCUAGGGUUAGUGCACUGACUGAGCGAAGCAUGAGACCUGCUCACUGGUACAACUUCUCGUUAGGGCUAUUAGCAUGGUCAGCUAGCAGCUAGCAUGGAGUGAACUGUUUUCCAUAGGCAGCCUCAUACUUCUUGAGCCGGGCCACUAUCUUCUGGGGGCCAUACAGAGCCACAAAGCAGAAAGGCCCUCCAAAACAAGGCGGGAAGCCAAGCCCAAAGACAGCUGCGAUGUCUCCCUCUGCAGGUGUGGCCAAGAUCCCCUCUCGCAGGCACAUGACUGCCUCAUUCACAAAUCUUGUCACCAGGCGGAACUGGAUGUCUUCACCUGGGGAGACUUCAGACUUAGGAGGCAUCUUUAGACUCACUAAGAUACUAUCCACAUCAGAAUUCAAAUUCUUACUCUUCACACCCUCCUGAUAGAUGUAAAAGCCCUUCCCAAACUUGCGACCUAGGAAGCCCUUGGACACCAUCUGUGUCAGCAGUUCUGGGUUUCCACCUCCAAACCGCUCCCCAAGGGCUUUGCGCAGAUCUUCCGCCAUAUGUUUCGCUACAUCCACGCCAACUUCAUCCACCAGUGUGGCGGCACCCACAGGAAAGCCAAAGCUUGUGGUCAGGGAAUCCAGCUUCUCCAGGUCAACUCCUUCCUGGAGGAUUCGGAUGACUUCAGACAUCAUGGGUGCAAGACACCUGGUGGUAUAGAAGCCAGGUCCAUCCAUAACCACAAUGAUGACCUUCCCCUGCUUGAGACUGACUGCCACAGCUGAAGCACUGAGUGUCUUUGGAAGUUUUCUCGGUUGUGAUCAUCUCCAGCAGCUGCAUCUUGUCCAUGGGAGAGAAGUAGUGCAUGCCAAUCACCUUCUCAGGUCUUUUGCUGACAGCAGCGAUUUCACUGAUUGGGAAAGCAGAUGUGUUACUGGCAAAGACACAGUGAUCUGGAAUCACCGCUUCUACUUCCUUUAGCACUCUGUGCUUAAGACUAAGGUCCUCAAACACAGCUUCAAUCACCAUGUCGACCUUUAAAACGUUGCUAAUCAAGCUGCCCAUCAAGUUGCUGAAGAUGGAAUCCCUUACAAAUGAUGUUAGAGCUUUCUUAUUCACUUUAUCAUUCAAUCCUUUGAACACUUGUUGCUGUCCUUGGCCUAGCCUAGUGAGUGUGGCAUCUUUAAGUAUAGUCUUUAGCCUCUUAUCCACAGAGACUUGGGUGAUGCCUGCUCCCUUCAGCCCUUCACCAAGAAUAGCCAGACGCUUAACAUCCUUCUGUGGUGCUCCAAAUUUAUUCUUCUUGCACAAGACCUGACCAUGGUAGAGACCCAUCAAGGCCUUUGAUUCACUGGUCAUUGCAAGCUAUCCAAAUUUCUGAGAUUCAGAGAGAUAACCAGCAUCAAUCCCUCGCUCAAUUCCAGUCUUUACCACGUCAAUUAUUUUCAGAGGUGCAGGAUAAAGGCCUUUAGUCUCCUUUUGCACUUUUUCUUCCACUUUUUUGUAAACCUGUUGCCUGACAAAUGGAAUAGUCAUGGUGUACGCUGUCAAUUUUUCCACCAAUCCCUUGUCUCUCUUUGGAGAGAUCUUCUUAUCAGCUAGUCCUUUGGCAAAAGUAAUUGCAACUGCUUCCAGGUAUUCGAUUGUCCAUUCCUCUGGAGGUUUUAUUCCCGGUCCCAGGGGUUCUACCAAUUGGUCAACCAGUCCCAUUUUCUUUGCGCUAUCUGCAUGAAUGUUUCUACUAGUCAGCAUCAUGUCAAAAACAGCAGGCACACCCACCAUUUUGGGCAGCCUUUGUGUGCCUCCUGCUCCUGGUA
rnacentral:lncRNA from 1 species